CGGGACGGGUGAGUAACGCGUGGAAAACCUGCCGUAUACUGGGGGAUAACACUUAGAAAUAGGUGCUAAUACCGCAUAAGCGCACAGCUUCGCAUGAAGCAGUGUGAAAAACUCCGGUGGUAUACGAUGGUUCCGCGUCUGAUUAGCUAGUUGGUGAGGUAAAAGCCCACCAAGGCGACGAUCAGUAGCCGGCCUGAGAGGGUGAACGGCCACAUUGGGACUGAGACACGGCCCAGACUCCUACGGGAGGCAGCAG
rnacentral:rRNA from 1 species